rnacentral:lncRNA from 1 species
GGAACAAAGGUGGCUGGAGAGGAAGUGGGGCUGGACUUGGGAAGAGAGCUCCCCCUCUGCCCCUCCCUCCCAAACCUGCUCCCCGGGAAGCAACUGAGGCUGCCGGUUGCAGGCAGAGGCAGGAGGGGUCAUAGCCCACCUGCUGAGCAGAGCUCUCCUCUCCCUUCCACAAAGAUUCACCCCCACCUGCCUGUCACUGCCUGUCACUACCUGACGUCCCACCACUACUGAGCCCCUUCCUGGAUUAAGCAUUAUGCUUCUACACAGCAGGUCUUAGAAAACAGCUAGGGUAGCAUACAAGCCUGUAAUGGCACCAUUCCACAGGACAAAGGAUCAGGGGAUGCACCUCCCCAAACACUGACAAUUAAAUACAUAUUCUGGGCUUGAUGCCUUCCCGCUCAUAUUUUUAUUGAAUCCUGCAUCUUGAUCAGUAGCAUGAUCACUACCCGUUUUGCUGGUGAGAAAACUGAGUCUCAGAGAGUUAGGAGACUUUCCCAAGGACAUGCAGACCUCCUCCCUGAGCUGCAACCUGCCACCCCUGCCCAUCCCUCAGCCAGGACACUGAUGGGAAAGAAACGCAUCCAUUUCACAUUGCAGCUGGGAGAAUUAAACAUGACAUAUAGAGAGCACUGUGCCUAGUGGCUGGGACCUAGUGAGCGUUCACUCAGUGGUUAUCGGAUGGCCUGGACUCUGCACCUGGCUUAAGCGGCAACUCUGGGCCGGGCCCUUUACAGUGCUGAGCCCAAGGUGCUGAUCUUACCACUGUCCCCAAAGUGUGGAUGACAGCACUGAGACUCGGAGACAGGAAGUCAUUUGUCUGGAGUCCCAGCCCCACCCACCUGACUCCAGAGCCCCUCACCCCUGACCUUCCAAUCAUAUUUCCUUGGAGCUGCCACAGAUCAGGAGCUGGGGCAAAUAACCCACCGGCUCCACCACCUUCCUGCCACCUCUGUGAGAUGAAGACAAAAUUAUCUAUCCCCAUAUUACAGCCGCGAAGCUUUGUGAGCACCUCGGAGAAUGUUGCCCUCAACCGGGAGCCUCGCCUGUCACACCAGAUUACCUCAAAGACUCCCAACCCACUUAGUAUGCCAGCUCCCCUCUCCCCGAACUUCUGAGUCAUCCAUUCUGCCCAUGCAGACGCUCCUUCCACUGACAUUAUCUUUAACGUUUUGUAAUCAUGAAAUAUUAAUGACCGAUAUUGAAUUUAAAGUACAAUUUGUGUCUGAAUCCUUCCAUGGAAAGGGCAGCUAGAAAUGGACAGUCUUCAAAGAGACGGGGGCGGGGGUCUGGGGCAUGUGUUCUGGGCCCUGGGGGUCCCCAGGGGCUGCAGACAGCCAUCUCCUCAGGAUCAUCAGGCCUGCAGCUGGUUUGGAGGGGUGAUGUCUAGCUGUCCAGGACCCAGAGGUUAACCUGACGGUUAGAAACUUCCCAUCUGGGUCACCCCAGACCGACUCACAUCUCCAGUGCCCUGCAUUUUCCUGCAUAACACUGAAUGCACUUUGCAGUUUACAGAUGUAUUUUUGUGAGUGUUGAGCGAUCCCU